rnacentral:rRNA from 1 species
AGUGAACGCUGGCGGUAGGCCUAACACAUGCAAGUCGAACGGCAGCACAGUAAGAGCUUGCUCUUACGGGUGGCGAGUGGCGGACGGGUGAGGAAUACAUCGGAAUCUACUUUUUCGUGGGGGAUAACGUAGGGAAACUUACGCUAAUACCGCAUACGACCUACGGGUGAAAGCAGGGGAUCUUCGGACCUUGCGCGAUUGAAUGAGCCGAUGUCGGAUUAGCUAGUUGGCGGGGUAAAGGCCCACCAAGGCGACGAUCCGUAGCUGGUCUGAGAGGAUGAUCAGCCACACUGGAGCUGAGACACGGUCCAGACUCCCACGGGAGGCAGCAGUGGGGAAUAUUGGACAAUGGGCGCAAGCCUGAUCCAGCCAUACCGCGUGGGUGAAGAAGGCCUUCGGGUUGUAAAGCCCUUUUGUUGGGAAAGAAAAGCAGCAGGUUAAUACCCCGCUGUUCUGACGGUACCCAAAGAGUAAGCACCGGCUAACUUCGUG